GGUCGCGGGGCCUGAGGCGCUGCCGCCGCCAUCUUGGGGCAGUCGCGUCUCUCCGGUGAGGGUGGGCCGCCCUCGCUCAGGGUGGAGUUCAGGGGCCUCCCGGUACUUGGGUUCGAAGGGACCUCCAAGCCCAUCCAGUUCCACUCCCUGCUAUGAGUGGAGACACCUCGCACUGGAUCAGGGCCCCAUCCAACCUGGCUUUGAACACCUCCAGGGAUGGGGUAGCCAUAGCUUCCAUGGGCAACCUGGGCCAGGGCCUCACCACCCUCAUAGUGGAGAAUUUCUUCCUCAUAUUCAAUCUAAAUAUUCCCCCAACUAAUUUAAAGCCAUUCCCUGUUGUCCUUUUACUCCUUGCCCUUGUAAUAAGCCCCUCCCCAGCUUUCCUGCAGCCCCUUUCAGUGCUGGGAGCUGCUCUAAGGUCCUCCUGGAGCCUUCUGUUUUCAGGCUCCCCAGGGAAGUGGUUGAUUCCUCUAUACUGGACGGGUGAGGCUCAGCUUGAUGAGGUGCUGGGCCAUCUCAUUUAAACUAUGCAUCACCAAAAAAGGCUGGAGCAGAUGAUCCCUGAGGUCCCUUUCAACCUGGAAUUCCUGUCAGCAGGGUUGAAGGGAGGUGAGUAGCCCCUCUCCACCUCCUGAUUCAAUACCUCCAGGAACGUUUGUCCCAUAACCUGUCUGGGGAAGGAGGGUCAGGGGCUGGCCAGCCCUCCCGUUGGUGCUCAUCUGGAAGAUGUGUAGCAUUUGCCCUUUUCCAGUUAUCAGGAACCUCUACUAAUCGCCAUGACUGUUCAAAAAAUAAGAGAGCAACCUCACAGCGAUGUGGUAUUCACUGUUACCGCUAGACAGAAGGUUUGAAAUGCAGGAGUGCUGUCUUUUCAUCCUGAUGGAGACCGAAAGUGCUAAUAGCAUGUAGAAAGUGGUAUCCCGGCCUCCUCAACUUCAGCGUCCAUCUUGGCAACUUCAGUCAUUGCUGCAGCCUCAGCUGGGAAAAUCCAUCACUCUGGCUCUCACUUCAGAGCUUCAGAGAAAGAAGAAUUUCUCCUGUAGCUACAGCUGAUAUGGUUGAACCAGGCUUGUGUUUAAGCCCUGCUAGAUGCUGCUGAGGAGCACUGCGACCUGUAGCAGAUUAAAAUACUUCAUGGAAGGAGAGCUGAAUUUUAGCGUUCAAGCAGUAAACCAGGAAGUCAAGACUUCUGGGAAAACACAGAUGUAGAAAGGCUGAGUGAAAAUGCACUUUUGACUGACCGAAGGUGAUUGAACAGGAUGCCUAAGGAGGACACUUCUGUUACUGUGCCCAGAAGAAAUGGAGCUCCUCCCUGUGCUGAUCCUCCCUUUGUGUCAUGCCUGCGGCAAUGGUGCCAUCUGUGCCCAGGACAUCAGCUGAUGGAGCUGAACCACAUCUCCUGGAAGCAUCUGGAGAUGGCAUGGGAAUGGGAGAAUGGCAGCGAUGAGACGGGAUGAGCUGAGCUCUAUGAUUAUAUCAAACCAGCUGAGCUGCCUACUUGUGAAGAGAUGGUCAUCAGCAGCACACACCGUGUGUUAGAUUCAUCUGUCUCAGGCCUUGCGCAGACUCUUUGCUGCUUUAAAGAGCAGACUUUAAGGCACUUGCUAAAAGUACCCUGUUUGUGGUUUCUUUUAGAGGUUUUAUGGUGGAGAAAUGAACUUUCAGAGGUUGUAGGGCUGGGAAGCCCUCCAAAGCCUUGGGUGAAGCAGGCAAAUAGUGCCUUCUGCUCAGAGAUGACUGGCUUGGAGCAGCUACAGGCACCAGCAAUUUCGGGGAGUCAAUCUGCACCCCUGGGAUGGGGCUUCCAGUGAAGGGCUCCUGCAGCCCUCUCACUCAGUAGUAGCUGCAUGGCUGUGGGGGGAUCACUUUCCUAUUCUGACUGUUGCACAUGGUUUCUCUGACCUCGGGGGUUUGAUGCCAACCCCCUCAUGCCUCUCCCUGUUGUGGGACACCAGAAUUCAUGGAGCCCAAGCACCAGGUCCCUCUGCCCCCAGACAAGUACAUCCAGUAAAACAUGACUUCCACAAAGGUAAUUUGGGUAACACCAGUCAUAUGGGGCGAAAAGCAGUGACUUUUAUCUCUUUCAUUAUGGCUUUUGCAAUAAAAAUAUUAUAGGCUGUUUUGCUGUGGUUUCAGUAGCAGUGAGAUGCAGAGGCCAGGGUGGAAGACAACACCAUCUGAGCAGCCCCUGCUGUGCUCGGCAGCAAUUUUCCUUCCCUUCCAGCCAUCCCAAGCCUCAUGCCUCCCCAGGCGAGGAUUUGCAGCUGCUUCUUCUACAGAAGGUGGCUGCUCCUUCCAGCUCCUGGGCCUGGCUCUGUGGCCACUCGUUCUGGAGCCGUGUUCUUUCUUGUGCCUGGUACUAAGCACCUGAUUUUCAGUUAAUACGCAACAGUUUAGGCCAAUGACGGGCUUAGGCUCAAGAGAAGAUAAGCAGGAGAGAGAAUAGCAACAUGAUACUGAAGAGAAACACUUUGGGAUGGAGGGGAUGGAUUGAGUUAUGGUCUAGAAACCUGCUUGUUGGCAUCUUUAUGAAAAUAUCUGUUAGCGGUCACCUAGAAAGGUCAUGGCCAUAUGGGCUGGAAAAUAAAGUGUCUGGUGGGUUUGCCUUAUGUGACUGAUGUGUUAAAGGUGAUAUUCUGCUUCAUUAAUGGCACUUAGCAUUGGAGUACUCUAUAGGACACUCAGGACGAGUACAGUAUUUUUAACAAGUAAUUUAGAGCCUGUCUUCGCUCCAUGAUUAGCUUGAGGUAUAACUUGAGAGCUGCCAGUAACCUGACGCUUGUGCGUGUCUUCAGCUGGAGCCAAAGGGUGCAUUUACCAGGGGCUGACCUGGCAGGGCCGGUGGGAGUCUGAAGCUGCUGCUGGUGCUCAUCAUGCCGUGGGGCUAAGCCAGCUCCUCAAAACACGCCUCACAGCUCAAGGGCUGUUUUACAGCGCUGACUGCUCUCACUCAGAGCAGACUAACUUGAGAGGAGUUAAUUUAAGUGUAGAUAGCUUCAGCUGACAGUUAAGUGAGGACAACCCCAUAGAGAGCUGAGAAACUGGAUGUAGCUUGAAAAUACACAGAAGAAGUUGGGAGACGGCACAGAUCGGUUCUCAGUUAAAUCCUUCUCUUUUUUUUUUUUUUUCCUUUGGAAAAAAAUUCUUUCCACAGUAGCAGACUCGCAGCUGUUAACUAAUCCCAUAACAAGUGGCAUUUAGCCACACAUUUUCCAAAUUAAAUAUGCUUGCAUGUUGGACUCAUUUCAUACCCUGUAAUACAAAUACUUUCCCUGCUGGGAAAAAAAAAAAAAUUAAAAGAGAAACCCUCUCAGGCAUAGGAAGAGUGGAGAAAGGGAAGAUGGGGUGUGUGCCUGUCUGCGCCAGUGCAGCCUAUGUGCAGCUACCGCUGUCACGGCAGCGUAUGGAGAUUCUGCAAGGAGCACAACAUUUGGUGGAAGAUCUGAUGGGUUAUCAAGGACUGCUCAUGCUUAAAUUAUUAGUUAAGGCUGUGACAUUAAAGAAUUGUUAUUUGGUCAUGGUCUCAUGGCUGUGUUUUGCUAGGAGGUGUUUGAGAAUUCUCUUCUGUGCUGUCACAUAAGCUGUACUUGCCCUUUUGUUUAAUUUUUUUUUUCUUUUCCUCUGGUCAUUUGAAUAAUGUUUUCAGAUCCUCGAUUUAAUGUGGGCUCAAUCUCGCAACAUUUGGAAACAAGCAAUUAACUACACGAACUUGUGCUGGAUCUUUUCAGAGGGUGUUGGAGAGCACCUACCCUACGCCCACCCCCCUGCCUGCCUCCUGCACAGUUUUAAGAAUCCCAUUAAAAUUUUUUCAGGAUCCCCAUCCAAGCCAAAUGCAUUGUUUCCAUGGAAACAAUUAAUGGGGAGAGCAAUUUAUAAGACUGAUGUAAAAAAAUGAGCACUUCAUCAGCCCCCCUGCUGCUCUGAUACACAAUUUCAAGGAAAAGUCUGCGGUGAGGUUUGCAUAAGCUCUGUUCUUAAAAAGGGUGGGGGGACACAGAAAGGAGCCUGCGAGUCCUGUCUGUGGCACAGUGAGCGAUGCCUUUUGUGCUGCGCAGGCAUUAUUAGCUCUUGGAAAAGACUAGUAAAUUCUCAUUUCAUGACGUCUUUUGAAAUGCUUUCCCUUCAGAGAAUGUGUUUUUUUCCCCCUAAUCCCACCCUCUUCCGCAAUACACACGUCUGCGUUUGGGGAAAGGAAUCAUGGCUUGUGAUAUACAAGGCAGCUGGGUCCCCGCGCGGAACCGGGCCUUUGAUUAAAAGGUAUUCAGGAUGCCUUAUAUUGCACUGGCUUUCAAAGGUCUUGCAGGCUCCCAGUUAACAGACCUGCCUUAAAAGUGCUCUCUUUGUUUUGAUUUGUUUUAAUCUCCCAUUACAGCUUUCUCCUGGCCAAUGUUUUGCAUUGAUUUUAUCACUAUGUACACACAAGCUAAAUCAGAAUUUGCUGUUUUAAAUGGAGAGCGAGCAGUGCACGCUGCGUACAGCACGUGCUGUCAUCCUGGACAGGUGUCUGAACAGAACAGGACUUGGAAUUUCCUGAAGAGCUUAUUUGGGGGGAAAAAACCACUAAAAAUUCCAUCCUGCAUGGUUCUGCUGUAGGAGAAACAGGAAUCCUGCCUGUCUGCACUCUGAAAUACGUGGCAGGGAUUUUAGAGCCUGCCAUAAACCAUUACCGUGCAGAUGAAAAUUCAUCUUCUCUCUGCUUCUGUAUUUACUGUGGCUGCUCCCGCAGCCAGAACGGGACGACCCGUGGUGGAGCAGUGGGACCGAAGCAGCUUUGGACUUUGUAGGACUAUCAGUCCAGUGGUCCAGCAGCGCUCCCUGCAUCCAUCAGCACCGGUGUGUUGUGCAGUAAUUAAAUGACUAAACCAAAUAAUAAUGGAGGAGUUGAUUCGUUUCUGUUUUCUCCCUCUUCUGAGGAUGUUUUUCCUGGUUAGGCUGGGGAUAUUUUUUCCUGCAGAGGGCACUCGCCAUCCACGAACGGCGCCCGGCAGAGGCUGCCUGCAGCCCGAGCAGCAUCCAUCCCCCCUAACAAAACAUGAUCUGUGUAUAUAAAAAAAAAUUUA